GAAGUUUAUUAAUUCAACUUCAUAACGAGUUUAACAUUUUGGAAAAUCUAUUUUACUCUACUUUCCUAGCUUAAAGAGGAAAUUUGAUAGAAAAAGUACAAAAAGAUGGACAUUAGUCAUUACUGUCCAAAGGACAAAUGCUAGUUUGUCAAUGAUAUCUACAGGACAUCAUCAUGCACAAUCGCCAACAGUAAGCUACAAUUAAGUGGACCAAUAGUCCAUUUUCAUGUCCAAGGCUAACCUUGCAGGCAGUCUAGUUUGAAUAGAAUGUGAUAGAGAAACAUAAAUCUGAAUCUCUCAGAUGCAUCCACAUGUCCCCGUGUUUGCAUAACUGCAGAGAGAAUUCUGCUAUAAAAACUAAAUAUAGUAAAGCUACUUUGAGAUUAGAACACUGAAGUAGCAACAUAUCCAGCAAGAAAGUCCCCAAAUUUCUUAAGCAAUUCAUCCCUUUUUCUCCAAAGUGACAGAUGCAGAAGCCAAAUCUUCAGCUGUUACUGGCUUGUGCAGNNNNNUGCAACAGACAACCAAUGAAAGGAACGCAAAAAAGUAUCAUCUUGUGAAGGUAAGCUGUCAUGAUUCCAAUACAUUAAAUUUUCAAAUUUUGCAUUCAACUCCCAACAAUUAGAAUCCUGUUCUAACAAAUCAGACCCUUUUCUUUUUUUAUCAUUCUUCUUCCCUAGGACAAAACCAGAAUAGCCAGGUGGAAGAGGAAGUGUA
rnacentral:misc_RNA from 1 species